rnacentral:rRNA from 1 species
UACAGAGGGUGCGAGCGUUGUUCGGAAUUAUUGGGCGUAAAGGGCGCGUAGGCGGUGCGGCAAGUCACCUGUGAAACCUCUGGGCUUAACCCAGAGCCUGCAGGCGAAACUGCCGUGCUGGAGUGUGGGAGAGGUGCGUGGAAUUCCCGGUGUAGCGGUGAAAUGCGUAGAUAUCGUUUGGAACGCCAAUGGUGAAAACAGGUUGCUGGGAGUGCGCUGACGCUGAGACACGAAAGCCAGGGGAGCGAACGGG